AGAGUUUGAUCCUGGCUCAGGAUGAACGCUGGCGGCGUGCUUAACACAUGCAAGUCGAACGAAGUGAUAGGAGCUUGCUCCUAGAACUUAGUGGCGGACGGGUGAGUAACGCGUGGGUAACCUGCCCUAUGCAGGGGGAUAACGUUUGGAAACGAACGCUAAUACCGCAUAAACUAUGGACAAUCGCAUGAUUGUUAUAGUAAAGAUUUUAUCGGCAUAGGAUGGACCCGCGUUGGAUUAGCUAGUUGGUGAGAUAACAGCCCACCAAGGCGACGAUCCAUAGCCGGCCUGAGAGGGUGAACGGCCACAUUGGGACUGAGACACGGCCCAAACUCCUACGGGAGGCAGCAGUGGGGAAUAUUGCACAAUGGGCGCAAGCCUGAUGCAGCGACGCCGCGUGAAGGAAGAAGGUCUUCGGAUUGUAAACUUCUAUCAGCAGGGAAGAAAAAAUGACGGUACCUGACUAAGAAGCUCCGGCUAACUACGUGCCAGCAGCCGCGGUAAUACGUAGGGAGCGAGCGUUAUCCGGAUUUACUGGGUGUAAAGGGUGCGUAGGCGGUUUGUUAAGUCAGAAGUGAAAUUUAGGGGCUCAACCUCUAAGCUGCUUCUGAAACUGAUGAACUAGAGUGUGGGAGAGGAAAGUGGAAUUCCGAGUGUAGCGGUGAAAUGCGUAGAGAUUCGGAGGAACACCAGUAGCGAAGGCGGCUUUCUGGACCAUAACUGACGCUGAGGCACGAAAGCGUGGGGAGCAAACAGGAUUAGAUACCCUGGUAGUCCACGCUGUAAACGAUGAAUGCUAGGUGUCGGGGCUUACGGGUCUCGGUGCCGAAGUUAACACAUUAAGCAUUCCACCUGGGAAGUACGAUCGCAAGAUUGAAACUCAAAGGAAUUGACGGGGAC
rnacentral:rRNA from 1 species